AACGAACGCUGGCGGCAGGCUUAACACAUGCAAGUCGAACGCACCUUUCGGGGUGAGUGGCAGACGGGUGAGUAACGCGUGGGAAUCUACCCUUCUCUACGGGAUAGCUCCGGGAAACUGGAAUUAAUACCGUAUACGUCCUGAGGGAGAAAGAUUUAUCGGGGAAGGAUGAGCCCGCGUUGGAUUAGCUAGUUGGUGGGGUAAAGGCCUACCAAGGCGACGAUCCAUAGCUGGUCUAAGAGGAUGAUCAGCCACAUUGGGACUGAGACACGGCCCAAACUCCUACGGGAGGCAGCAGUGGGGAAUAUUGGACAAUGGGCGCAAGCCUGAUCCAGCCAUGCCGCGUGAGUGAUGAAGGCCCUAGGGUUGUAAAGCUCUUUCAGUGGAGACGAUAAUGACGGUACCCACAGAAGAAGCCCCGGCUAACUUCGUG
rnacentral:rRNA from 1 species